rnacentral:lncRNA from 1 species
GUGAUGGAUUCAAACAGCUUAUUAAUAUCAUCAUCUAGAUUAUCCUUGUAUCCUAGUUUCACCACUGGAAGCUUCUGGUUUUUCUCAGCCAAGCUAUAUCCAGAAUUGGACUGAUAAAUCCCUGCAGCUUUCCCUGUAUUCAGGUCUUCAUGUGCUUCAACAAUUUCACAAGUGCCAGAGAACGAACCCAUCACAGAUAAGUUGCUCCACAAACUUAAGUUUGGUGUGGUAGAUGUAACACAAACAAUAUGUCUCCCAGAGCAAAAGUCUACUCUAGUGCAUUUCAAAUGCAGCUUAUCAGACACAACAACUUCACAGCUCAAGGACAAUGAACCCUAAAUCCAGCUUUCAGAAUCCAAACCAUUCUUAAAUCAACUUUAAAGUCCAACUGGUACAUCCACUUCUUUAUCAGCUAUAGGACAUCAAACCCUGGUGCAAUGGCCAACAUUUGAAUGCAUCAGAAAACCAAGUGGAAAAUGAUAUUGUCAAUUAAGUAAGACAAAACAGGGAGGGACACAUUUGUUGCAUAACUACUUUUGGCUCUAUUGAAUUUAUAGAAGGAACAAAAGUUCUACGAACAAAGAUGGAUAAUACCCAAGUAAUCAUGAAGAACAAUUGGGCGAAACAAGCUACUGACUGUAUUUCAACUAAAAGAUUACAAAAGGAAACAGAAACUUCACGACUAACCAGUGAAAAAUUACCCUUAAAUUAUGCAGCGGCAUGGAUAUCAGAGAAUCAUGUUCAAUAUAAGUUCAGCAAUAAAGCAUAUAUUAUCCAGAACUAACAUGUAAAAAACCUAUUGAGGGCACUAAAUAAAACAGAUAUUCAUAAUAAAAUUAAAACAUGAGAAUGAGCACAACAAGAACAGCAAAGUCAGAAAGAACAAUUAUGCAAGUUAAACAAUUAUUUAUACCAGGAGAUACUCAAGAUAUUAUAUCAUUUGUUGCACUCCUCAAAUUAAGCUGGUUUGCAUAUACUUUCUGACCUAACAGAAAAUAAAAUGCUCAAGUUAUUAGUUUCCUACCUAGCUGCUGGCUCUGAAAAACACCGACCAAGCUGCUUCUGCCGUAGAACAUGAAGAUCUCCACCCGGACAAAAUUCCAUGACCAGACAUGACAGAUUAUCUGAUGUAAACUGCACAUACAGUGUGGGAAGAAAUGGAUGAUCCAGCAUCCUUAGUAUUUCUCUUUCAGUUUGAGCCCUAGGCAUCUUCUUCCUUCUUGCCAAAAAUUCAUUGUCCAUGACCUUUAUAGCAAACAAGCAACUUGUGCCAAUUAGUUCAGCAAGAUAUACAGUCCCAAUGUCUCCACAACCAAGUUUCUUCAAAAGAUUGAAGUGUCUCAAGCCCAAGACUCCAUACUGCAUUUGAGCAUGUCGAAUGGCUUCCCACCUAACAUCCUUCGACAUAUGAGGCCUGGUGCCGCAACUUGAGCCACUUACAUUGCUCUCAUCACUGGUACUUGUACUACUACUGUACCCACCUUGACUACUCUUUGAACUUUGCGAAAAUUCAAGUUGCUCUUUCAACUUGGUGUUCUUCUUCACUUUUGUGACUGCUUUGCUUUUAUUGCUGCUAGUUGAUGCCAAAUCAGCCUUAUUUGAACCAGAGUGCACACUAUUCAAGUUCACUCCAUUUACAGGACUGGUAGAGUCUAAUGCCAUGAUAUCUUGGCUUUUUCCUUCACUUUUAGUUUCUAGGCUAGUUUCUAAUGCACACCUACAUCUCUCACAAACCAGCUGAGCUGUACCAACUGACUUAUUAACUUCAUUGGAUGUAGGACCACACGAGGCAAAACCUGAAUCCUCCUUUACUUUUUUCUUACUCUGAUUCUUGUUCUUGGUGACCGUUUUAACUGUUCGGGGAGCAUGGCGUGGCAGUUUGUUAACUCUGCUUCCACUUACAGAAGUAGAUGAAGAAGAUACUGUUUGCAACCUACUUUUCGGUGCAGUAUUUGAAACAGAGGCCUUAUUUCCUAGCUUUUUAGGGGAAGGAGCAUUUUCAGGCAACUCUAAUUUGCUUCCAAAUGCAUUACAAAGAGAUGGAGAAGAUGCAGAUGUAAGUUUUUCUGCUUGAACAGGUACCACGCACUGUGAUUGAAUUAUAACUGUACUUGGGCUUGAUGAUGUGAUUUGGAAAGUUUGAUGAGAAUGAGAAGUUUGCUCCAUGGAGGGUGACUUGCUUUUUUCUGCUACAAGAGAAAUUUCCACUGUACACCCCUUACUCUCAACAUAAGAAGGCCCAGAUUGACCUGUUUCAGCAACAACUGAAUUGUACAAUGUCUGUAUCUUGCCAACCUCUGAUAUUCUAGGAGAAGCUGAGGACUUUGAUAAUCGUUUCAUAGCAGCCAUUUCUGAUGCCUUAGAUAUACAAUGGUCUCUCAAUGCCUGCUUCAAAGUCACCGGCUCAGAUGUCCCAACCCGCGGGGACCGAGGAACGCCCCCAGUAAUUGGCUUUUUUAAUGCACCUUUCAUCUUAGGGCUUGUUCCAUUUUGUAAAAAGCCUGAAUCCCUGGAUGAGGAUUUGAGAGUGAUGGAUUCAAACAGCUUAUUAAUAUCAUCAUCUAGAUUAUCCUUGUAUCCUAGUUUCACCACUGGAAGCUUCUGGUUUUUCUCAGCCAAGCUAUAUCCAGAAUUGGACUGAUAAAUCCCUGCAGCUUUCCCUGUAUUCAGGUCUUCAUGUGCUUCAACAAUUUCACAAGUGCCAGAGAACGAACCCAUCACAGAUAAGUUGCUCCACAAACUUAAGUUUGGUGUGGUAGAUGUAACACAAACAAUAUGUCUCCCAGAGCAAAAGUCUACUCUAGUGCAUUUCAAAU